rnacentral:sRNA from 1 species
AGUUUGUUUACAGUCUCCUGUGGCUACAGACAACAGAAAGUUGAUUCCUGUUAUUCUGUAGCCAUUAGUAUAAAAUAACCCACUUAACUUUUGCUUAUGACUGCUGCCUCAAAACAUGGCUACUGAUUAAUAAAUACCAGUUCUUUGAAAAUGUGAAUACUCAAAGGGUAUACGAGUAGCUGCGUUGCCCUGCUAGAACCUCCAAACAAGCUCUCAAGGUCUAUUUGUAGGAGUACUUAGGGUAGUCAAGUUUCCAAGACUCCAGACACAUCCAAAGGAGGUGCUGCAUGUGGCAGUUUUCCUUUCUUU